rnacentral:rRNA from 1 species
CCUACGGGAGGCAGCAGGGGGGAAUAUGGAACAAUGGGGGAAAAGAGGAGGAAGAGAAGCAGAGGGAGAGAGGAAGGAGGGCGGGAGGGAAAGGGAGAGAAGAAGGGACGAAAAAAGACGGUACCUGACUAAGAAGCCCCGGCUAACUACGUGCCAGCAGCCGCGGUAAUACGUAGGGGGCAAGCGUUAUCCGGAUUUACUGGGUGUAAAGGGAGCGUAGACGGCAAGGCAAGCCAGAAGUGAAAGGGCAGGGCUCAACCCUGUACAUGCUUUUGGAACUGUGGUGCUAGAGUGCAGGAGAGGUAAGUGGAAUUCCUAGUGUAUCGGUGAAAUGCGUAGAUAUUAGGAGGAACACCAGUGGCGAAGGCGGCUUACUGGACUGUAACUGACGUUGAGGCUCGAAAGCGUGGGGAGCAAACAGGAUUAGCUCCCCCAGUAGUC